rnacentral:rRNA from 1 species
UGAGGAAUAUUGGUCAAUGGGCGAGAGCCUGAACCAGCCAAGUCGCGUGAAGGAAGACAGUCCUAAGGAUUGUAAACUUCUUUUAUACGGGAAUAACGGGCGAUACGAGUAUUGCAUUGAAUGUACCGUAAGAAUAAGCAUCGGCUAACUCCGUGCCAGCAGCCGCGGUAAUACGGAGGAUGCGAGCGUUAUCCGGAUUUAUUGGGUUUAAUGGGUGCGUAGGUUGUUCGGUAAGUCAGCGGUGAAAGCUGAGCGCUAAACGUUCAGCCUGCCGCAGAAAAUGCCGGUGUUGAGUUCAGUGGCGGCAGGCGGAAUUCGUGGUGUAGCGGUGAAAUGCAUAGCUAUCACGAGGAACUCCGAUUGCGAAGGCAGCUUGCCAUAAUGCGACUGACACUGAAGCACGAAGAAGUGGGUAUCAAGCAGG